rnacentral:rRNA from 1 species
GCGAGGGUAAAGGCGGGGAUUGUAAAACCUGCCGUUUCUUGAGUUGCCUGCGGCCUAUCAGCUUGUUGGUGAGGUAAUAGCUCACCAAGGCUACUACGGGUAACUGGCCUUAGAGGGCGAUCAGUCACACUGGAACUGAGACACGGUCCAGACACCUACGGGUGGCAGCAGUCGAGAAUCUUUCACAAUGGGGGAAACCCUGAUGGAGGGACGCCGCGUGGAGGUUAAGGUUUUCGGAUUGUAAACUCCUGUCAUGCGUGAACAACUAUGCCUGGAUAAUAUUCAGUCAAAACGAUAGUAGCGCAAGAGGAAGAGGCGGCUAACUCUGUGCCAGCAGCCGCGGUAAUACAGAGGCCUCAAGCGUUGUUCGGAAUUAUUGGGCGUAAAGGGCGCGUAGGCGGCGGUAUAAGUUGUUUGUAAAAACUUCAGGCUUAACCUGGAAGUUGCAAACAGUACUGUAUCGCUAGAGGUUUUAAGAGGGGGGUGGAAUUCACGGAGUAGCAGUGAAAUGCGUAGAGAUCGUGAGGAACACCAAUGGCGAAGGCAGCCCCCUGGGAAUUUCCUGACGCUGAUGCGCGAAGGCUUGGGUAGCAAACGGGAUUAGAUACCCCGGUAGUCCAAGCAGUAAACUGUGCACGUUUAGUCUAAGGGACUUGACAGUCCUUGGGCUGUAUUUAACACGUUAAACGUGCCGCCUGGGAAGUACGGUCGCAAGACUAAAACUCAAAGAAAUUGACGGGGACCCGCACAAGCGGUGGAGUAUGUGGCUUAAUUCGAUGCAACGCGAAGAACCUUACCUGGACUUGACAUGCAAAGUAUCCUUGUAAGAAAUUACAUGGUGAAGCAAUUCAGUUUGCACAGGUGCUGCAUGGCUGUCGUCAGCUCGUGUCGUGAGAUGUUGGGUUAAGUCCCGCAACGAGCGCAACCCCUGUAGUCAGUUGCCAACCGCAAGGAGGAACUCUGGCUAGACUGCCUAGAUUAACUAGGAGGAAGGUGGGGAUGACGUCAAGUCCUGAUGGCCCUUACGUCCAGGGCUGCACACGUACUACAAUGCGCAGCACAGUGAGAGCCGAUGCCGCAAGGUGGAGGAAAUCUAUAAAGCUGCGCCAAGUUCAGAUUGUUGGCUGCAACUCGCCGACAUGAAGUUGGAAUCGCUAGUAAUGGCAUAUCAGCUACGGUGCCGUGAAUACGUUCCCGGGUCUUGUACACACCGCCCGUCACAUCAUGGAAGUUGGCCUUACCCGAAGCUGUUUCUUGCAUCAAAGGUAAAGCGGACAACUGGGAUGAAGUCGUAACAAGGUAGCCGUAGGGGAACCU